rnacentral:rRNA from 1 species
GAGCGGCGGACGGGUUAGUAACGCGUGGGAACGUACCCUUCUCUAGGGAAUAGCCACUGGAAACGGUGAGUAAUACCUUAUACGCCCUUCGGGGGAAAGAUUUAUCGGAGUUGGAUCGGCCCGCGUUAGAUUAGAUAGUUGGUGGGGUAAUGGCCUACCAAGUCUACGAUCUAUAGCUGGUUUGAGAGGAUGAUCAGCAACACUGGGACUGAGACACGGCCCAGACUCCUACGGGAGGCAGCAGUAGGGAAUCUUAGACAAUGGGCGCAAGCCUGAUCUAGCGAUGCCGCGUGUGUGACGAAGGCCUUAGGGUCGUAAAGCACUUUCGCCAGGGAUGAUCAUGACAGUACCUGGUAAAGAAACCCCGGCUAACUCCGUGCCAGCAGCCGCGGUAAUACGGAGGGGGUUAGCGUUGUUCGGAAUUACUGGGCGUAAAGCGCACGUAGGCGGAUUGGAAAGUUGGGGGUGAAAUCCCGGGGCUCAACCCCGGAACUGCCUCC